rnacentral:rRNA from 1 species
GACGAACCGUGCGAACGUUGUUCGGAUUCACUGGGCUUAAAGGGCGCGUAGGCGGACUCGCAAGUCUGUGGUGAAAGCCCCCAGCUCAACUGGGGAAGUGCCGUGGAUACUGUGAGUCUGGAGGAGGGUAGGGGCAUCUGGAACGCUGGGUGGAGCGGUGAAAUGCGUUGAUAUCCAGCGGAACUCCGGUGGCGAAGGCGAGGUGCUGGACAAGUAUUGACGCUGAGGUGCGAAAGCGUGGGGAGCAAACAGG